GAGAUCGAACUCUUCUUCCCCAAGUCCGGCCGCCGGCCAUCGUCGUCAAUUCCCCGCUCCCGGCCCAAAGACCGGAGGAAGCCGACGCCGUCGUACCGCCGUUUUCCGCCGCCACCGGAGCGUUCCUCGGUUCACCGUCGUCGUCCAAGCUUCGUCGGUGAGUCCCGUAGAGGCACAUGCAUGCACACAUUUGGCACAAAUCGAGCCGUAGCUCUAAAUGGCGCAUCACCCCGAAGCACACCGCCGCUCGCGCUGCCGCCGUCGUUGACUCCAGCCACCACAGCCCGCGAUACCACCGCCAUUAGUUUCGCCAUCUUCCACUCUACAUUUUCUCUUUUGGCUGCAUCGUGA
rnacentral:lncRNA from 1 species